UUGAACGCUGGCGGCAUGCUUUACACAUGCAAGUCGAACGGCAGCGGGGGCUUCGGCCUGCCGGCGAGUGGCGAACGGGUGAGUAAUGCAUCGGAACGUGCCCAGUCAUGGGGGAUAACUACGCGAAAGCGUAGCUAAUACCGCAUACGCCCUGAGGGGGAAAGCGGGGGAUCGCAAGACCUCGCGUGAUUGGAGCGGCCGAUGUCGGAUUAGCUAGUUGGUGGGGUAAAGGCUCACCAAGGCGACGAUCUGUAGCUGGUCUGAGAGGACGACCAGCCACACUGGAACUGAGACACGGUCCAGACUCCUACGGGAGGCAGCAGUGGGGAAUUUUGGACAAUGGGCGCAAGCCUGAUCCAGCAAUGCCGCGUGCAGGAUGAAGGCCUUCGGGUUGUAAACUGCUUUUGUACGGAACGAAAAGACUCCUUCUAAUAAAGGGGGUUCAUGACGGUACCGUAAGAAUAAGCACCGGCUAACUACGU
rnacentral:rRNA from 1 species